rnacentral:lncRNA from 1 species
CAUGUGAUUUUCACAUAAAACACAUGGAGAAAUUAAUUUAGGCAUAUGGGAUUUUAAUUUAAAACAUGGGUAAUUAAAAAGUGGGUCUCAAAGCAUUUAAAAAAAAAUAAAUUGAAAAAUUAAAAACAAUUUAAUUAAUUAAAAGGUGGAGAAUGGGCUGGCCAGGUUUGGCCAACUCAGGCAAGUCGGUCUGCAUGGGCCACGGACAGCAGGCCUGUGGGUUGGGCCACAGGUUGCGUGCUGGGCUUGUUGGGCCAGUUCUUUGCUCGUAUGUGCGGGGUGCGCGCACGACUAUUUCC